rnacentral:sRNA from 1 species
ACAGUCACCCGCUUCGUUUCAGUCAGUAGUUUGUGACUUGUUCUUUUGUUCAUGUUGUAAGUAGUAUUGAUUUACAAUUUACACAUUUAGCAGGAGCAGCAAUGUGUGGAACACCGCUUCGCAGUGGUGCUACGAUCGGCCAAUUCUUCGAAUUCAAUUAAGAAUAUGUUCAGCAUCCGCAAGUAUGGGACAUAGGAAUCUUCACCGAUGGUUCUAACGAUGGGACCACAGCCCCCAAUGGUACGCCAGCAACAACCGAUUCUUCUGAUACUUCGGACCCACCGACACCACCCAUCAAGAAGCGGAAGACACUUUGAAGACCUUGACAGCUGGAAUUUUGAAGGAAGUGGGAGCACGGAACGAAAUGCAGAGCGACGCCACCUUGCGAUGCAUUCGCGUGACGACAUUACCUUCACAAUAAUUUGCCUUGAAGAAC